rnacentral:lncRNA from 1 species
AUGUGCGGAAAGGGGUGGAGGAGCCCUGAGCAGAAGCGUGCGGGAAGUGUGUCUGCGCCCCUCAUCCGCCUGGACAAUGCAAAGGCGCCAUCCCGUGUUCGGCUGAUGGAGCAGGACAGGAUCCACCAUGACAGUCUGUGGAGGACCGCAGGGAAAGCAAGGGUCACCGCAGCGGCAGGAAAACAGGCUCCUGCUUCACAGGCUGCCCCAUCAAGGUUGGGCUCUGAGAAAGCGAAAGGCAAAAGUGCCAUCAAAUGCGGCGUGUUGGCCCAGCCCAGAGGCUGUGAAGGCUUUUUGCAAACGCACCUGUCAGGUGAAGAUGCUCCUAAUGCCCGUUGUUGUCCUUCUACUUCCUCGUGGAAUUAUUUUUUGAGUGUCUUUGCCAUCAUAAUAAAAUCCCAAAUUUACUUUUGCUCCUACUGGCUUUUAUCUCAUGGAUCUGUUCGCCCCAGACACAUAUUUUCCCAAGGACUUGAGCCCUCAGGCUGGACGCUGUCUACAUCCAAGGUCAGAGCUGGGGAGGUGUGGGCCAGCACGCCUGCCCUGGGGGUUUAUCCCUAGGGUUGCUAGGAGUGACAGCAAAGAGCCAGGCUGCCUGAUGAAUCCAACGAACAGAAAAAUCUGUCAAAACAUACAGAACGUUCAUUGCAGGGAUCGUGGAAACAUUGCCUAUUUGUUUGGAGCACGUUUAAUUAUUUUUAAACAUAUGCAGCCUGUAGUUCAGUGAACAUGUCAGGGAUAAUAGAGGAAGCAAAGCAAAUGAAGGGAGGCGACACUGGUCCUGGAGUGACUCCUCCCCACAGCUGGCUGCGGGGAGAGGCCGUCUAUGCCCUGCGAAGUGUGGCUCCCUGUCUGUCACCUAAUGAAACGCAGUAGGGGGAUUAAUGUCAUUAGCUCCGGGCUGGCAUGCUGUGUGGUAAACAGACAGACACCCUCGCUCAUUUGGGGGAGUUUCUCGACUCCUGCCCACCAGCCACAGAGGUCACUCCCCGGCCUUCCAUUAGUUAAAUGGGAAGAAAUUGGGCUGCCGGAAUCUGUGGUUUGCUUCCAUGAGAGCAGUGGCUGGAGAUUCUCGCACCUAAUUCUGUCCUUCCCUCCUUUUGCUCCUCCUAAUUCGAGCUGAGAUGUCUUCUUUGAAGGAAACCCUAGCUCAACAGAGAAGAUUAAAGCCCUCCAAGCAAAUACAACUACAGAAGAAAACAUUCAAUUUGUCUCAGUAACCAAAUGGACUAAGGACUGUGGACAGAACGGGAGGGUUGCCCUUUGGGUAUCAGGACAUCUCUUCUCACUCUGGAACCAGGAGCUUUUAAUGCCUAUGAACCUGUACAAUGCUGAAUACUAAGAAAGGAACGUGUUCACUUUGCCCCAGUACAUGGAAAUACGGAAAGAAAAUAGCUACAAGGAAAUAAAAAGUGAGUAUUUUGUAUUCUCAGAAAACAGACAUUUUAACUUUCAGUUAGUACUGGACAUUACUAGCGGCUGGGGGAAAACAAGAGAAUAUCAAGAAGACUGAACUUCCAAAGGAUGAUAGUGACCCAUGGUUGGCCAUGCCAGCGAAGUUCAGCUAAGUGGAGGAACACACAGCAUCCUCCAGAUGCAACCCGAGAGAACCUGAGAAGCUAAACAAGGAGGGUAAAAUGAAGAAGAAACAGCCAAGGAAAAGCAGCAUGGGGGAAAUUCAGACUUGCUUCAAUUUUACACAAAUAGUAGAUAAAAAAAGACAACAAUAAAUAUCACCUUGUAAAAAUUCACCUUAAUUUUUUCCUUACCAAGGCAGAACACUAUGCCUUACACUAAAAACUUGGAACUGUGUUAUGACAUUGUGGAUAGCAUACCGAUCUGCAGCAAUAAACAUUACCAUCACAGAAAUAUUAUGAAAAAGUAAAAGAAAAAAAUUGAGGACCAUUUGUAUUUCUCAAGCCAAACACUCAGUUCUGGACCCCUCCAUGUGCCCAGGGCUGACUACCUUGGCAUCUCUGGGAGUCAGUUUUCUUGAAGAACAUCGUGGUAGGGACAGUUUUCUCUCCUGUUAUUGGCAGACCAAUAAGGGAGUGGAAAAGAGACGGCCAAGAAGAGUAUUCCAUCAUCAAAUAAACAACUCAGGAAGAAAUAAGCCACAUUUCAAUGUUUUAGAUUUUCAAGAUUAGCCAGAUUUUCUAGGCCUCACCUACUUCCAGAUAGAAAUGACAUUUAGGAAAUCAAUUCCAGUGUUGAGGGUUUUUCCCCACUGUCCUGGUCAACAUGGAGCCUCAGCCAGUUCUCCCAGGUCCUACCCCACAAACAUUCAAGAGAGAGGCAGCUUCUCUGGUGCCCUGGCCGCUUUGGAGAACAGCAGCUGGGCGGGGUAUAGUCCUUUGUCCUCGACUGGCCAACUGUGUUCCCAGGAACAUGGCGACCCCAACAGGGAAGAGCAUCACUGCCCUGCCCACGCAACUGCUUCCUGGCCUUUCCAAAGUCACUGUUCCCUGCCCUUCUCGCCUCGCUGUCCACUCGCCUGCAUGCAAACAGAGGACCUCAGGAGUCAGAUGGAGGCACAGGGCCAGCUUGGGCCAGAUUGGAGGAGAUCCUCUUUGAUUUGUUCUUCUGAGUGCUGUUUCUUGUGCAUUCUUUUGCCUCCUGCUGGGUUUGGUUCUCUUUCAGUGGAACAUUGGGCAUGUUGAUGUCCGGGGGGGUGGGGAUGAAAGGUGGGGUGCUGGCAGGUGGGGUUGGCUUCUGUUGUCUGAACAGUUGGUUUCUGACGGUUUCUGGAUUGAACCAGAAUCUAUCUUCUAGAAGUUUGAUUAUCAAAACUUGUAAGAAAAUAUUUACAUCCUAUAAGAAUUAAUAUAUAAAAAUAAAAAACAGCUUAUUGAACAGGAAAGGAUACUAAUGAAACACUAGAAAUUGCUUUUUCAAAAGAGAAGCAAUAAAUUCUGCACAUAAUUACAGGGGAA